GACGAACGCUGGCGGCGUGCUUAACACAUGCAAGUCGAACGAUGAAGCCGGAGCUUGCUCCGGUGGCUUAGUGGCGAACGGGUGAGUAGCACGUGAGCAAUCUGCCCUUGACUCUGGGAUAACUGCGGGAAACUGUAGCUAAUACCGGAUACGACACCUUGGGGCAUCCCAGGGUGUGGAAAGAAUUUCGGUCAAGGAUGAGCUCGCGGCCUAUCAGCUAGUUGGUGAGGUAAUGGCUCACCAAGGCGACGACGGGUAGCCGGCCAGAGAGGGUGACCGGCCACACUGGAACUGAGACACGGUCCAGACUCCUACGGGAGGCAGCAGUGGGGAAUAUUGCACAAUGGGCGAAAGCCUGAUGCAGCAACGCCGCGUGAGGGAUGAAGGCCUUCGGGUUGUAAACCUCUUUUAGCAGGGAAGAAGCGAAAGUGACGGUACCUGCAGAAAAAGCACCGGCUAACUACGUGCCAGCCGCCGCUGUAA
rnacentral:rRNA from 1 species